rnacentral:rRNA from 1 species
GUAGUCAAGAUGAGAAUUCUAAGGUGAGCGAGCGAACUCUCGUUAAGGAACUCGGCAAAAUGACCCCGUAACUUCGGGAGAAGGGGUGCUCUUUAGGGUUAACGCCCAGAAGAGCCGCAGUGAAUAGGCCCAAGCGACUGUUUAUCAAAAACACAGGUCUCUGCUAAACCGUAAGGUGAUGUAUAGGGGCUGACGCCUGCCCGGUGCUGGAAGGUUAAGAGGAGUGGUUAGCUUCUGCGAAGCUACGAAUCGAAGCCCCAGUAAACGGCGGCCGUAACUAUAACGGUCCUAAGGUAGCGAAAUUCCUUGUCGGGUAAGUUCCGACCCGCACGAAAGGCGUAACGAUUUGGGCACUGUCUCAACGAGAGACUCGGUGAAAUCAUAGUACCUGUGAAGAUGCAGGUUACCCGCGACAGGACGGAAAGACCCCGUGGAGCUUUACUGUAGCCUGAUAUUGAAAUUCGGCACAGCUUGUACAGGAUAGGUAGGAGCCUUUGAAACGUGAGCGCUAGCUUACGUGGAGGCGCUGGUGGGAUACUACCCUAGCUGUGUUGGCUUUCUAACCCGCACCACUUAUCGUGGUGGGAGACAGUGUCAGGCGGGCAGUUUGACUGGGGCGGUCGCCUCCUAAAAGGUAACGGAGGCGCUCAAAGGUUCCCUCAGAAUGGUUGGAAAUCAUUCAUAGAGUGUAAAGGCAUAAGGGAGCUUGACUGCGAGACCUACAAGUCGAGCAGGGUCGAAAGACGGACUUAGUGAUCCGGUGGUUCCGCAUGGAAGGGCCAUCGCUCAACGGAUAAAAGCUACCCCGGGGAUAACAGGCUUAUCUCCCCCAAGAGUUCACAUCGACGGGGAGGUUUGGCACCUCGAUGUCGGCUCAUCGCAUCCUGGGGCUGUAGUCGGUCCCAAGGGUUGGGCUGUUCGCCCAUUAAAGCGGUACGCGAGCUGGGUUCAGAACGUCGUGAGACAGUUCGGUCCCUAUCCGUCGUGGGCGUAGGAAAUUUGAGAGGAGCUGUCCUUAGUACGAGAGGACCGGGAUGGACAUACCUCUGGUGUACCAGUUGUCGUGCCAACGGCAUAGCUGGGUAGCUAUGUGUGGACGGGAUAAGUGCUGAAAGCAUCUAAGCAUGAAGCCCCCCUCAAGAUGAGAUUUCCCAACUUCGGUUAUAAGAUCCCUCAAAGAUGAUGAGGUUAAUAGGUUCGAGGUGGAAGCAUGGUGACAUGUGGAGCUGACGAAUACUAAUCGAUCGAAGACUUAAUCAA